UACGAAGGGUGCAAACGUUGCUCGGAAUUAUUGGGCGUAAAGCGCACGUAGGCGGCUUUGCAAGUCGGAUGUGAAAGCCCUCGGCUCAACCAAGGAAGUGCAUCCGAAACUGCAGAGCUUGAGUACUUAAGAGGAUCGCGGAAUUCCCGGUGUAGAGGUGAAAUUCGUAGAUAUCGGGAGGAACACCAGUGGCGAAGGCAGCGAUCUGGGAAGAUACUGACGCUGAGGUGCGAAAGCGUGGGGAGCAAACAGG
rnacentral:rRNA from 1 species